rnacentral:rRNA from 1 species
CAAUAGCGUAUAUUAAAGUUGUUGCGGUUAAAAAGCUCGUAGUUGGAUUUCUCCUUUUCUGAGCCGGUCGGCGCUUUGCGCUUGUAUCUGGUUUCGGAGAAGGAUCCGCACGUUUACGCUUCAUAGAGGACUUCACUGUUCCUUUGCGGGGCUCGUGCCUUUUACUUUGAGGAAAUUAUAGUGUUCACGGCAGGCUUUCGCCUUGAGUAUACUAGCAUGGAAUGAUAAUAAAGGAUUUUCGUCCUUUUUUGUUGGUUUCAAGGGCUUAAAUAAUGAUAAACAGGAACGGAUGGGGCCAUUGCUAUAAGUUACGAAGAGGUGGAAUUCUUUGAUCUGACUUCGAGCAACUACAGCGAAAGCAUCUGGCAAAGACGUUUUCAUUGAUCAAGAACGACAGAUAGAGGAUCGAAGAUGAUCAGAUACCGU